UCCGGCUUGACGCCGGCAGUUUCAUUAGAGUGCCCAGCCGAACUGAUGGCAACUAAUGAUGAGGGUUGCGCUCGUUGCGGGACUUAACCCAACAUCUCACGACACGAGCUGACGACAGCCAUGCAGCACCUGUGCACGGUCCAGCCGAACUGAAGGCCCUUCUUUCAAAGGGCCGCGACCGGCAUGUCAAGGCCUGGUAAGGUUCUUCGCGUUGCCUCGAAUUAAACCACAUGCUCCACCGCUUGUGCGGGUCCCCGUCAAUUCCUUUGAGUUUUAACCUUGCGGCCGUACUCCCCAGGCGGAGUGCUUAAUGCGUUAGCGUCGCCACCGGGCCCUUAAGGGCCCGACAGCUAGCACUCAUCGUUUACGGCGUGGACUAC
rnacentral:misc_RNA from 1 species